rnacentral:rRNA from 1 species
CCUACGGGAGGCAGCAGUGGGGAAUUUUGCGCAAUGCUCGUAAGAGUGACGCAGCGACGCCGCGUGAAUGACGAAGGCCUUCGGGUCGUAAAGUUCUUUCGACAGGGAAGAAAAUGCUUAUAAGUAACUGUGUAUGCAUUGACGUUACCUGCAUAAGCAGCCCCGGCUAACUCCGUGCCAGCAGCCGCGGUAAUACGGAGGGGGCGAGCGUUGUUCGGAGUGACUGGGCGUAAAGGGCACGGAGGCGGUGUUGUAAGUCAUUAGUCAAAGACCAGGGCUCAACUUUAGUAAGGCUAGUGAGACUGGAAGACUAGAGUAGCAGAGAGGAGUGCAGAAUGCCUGGUGUAGCGGUGAAAUGCGUAGAUAUCAGGAGGAAUACCGUUAGCGAAGGCGGCAAUCUGGCUGGAAACUGACGCUGAGGUGCGAAAGCGUGGGUAGCAAACAGGAUUAGAUACCCGAGUAGUC